CAGAGAGGUUGGGGAUGCUCCAUCCUUGGAGGUGUUUUAGACCCAGGUAGACAAAGCCUUGGCUGGGAUGAUGUAGUUGGAGCAGGGGCUUGGACUAGACGUGAGGUCUCUUCCAACCCUCGUUGUCUAUGAUGCUUCUGUUAGUGGGGGUUUAUGGGCUAAUUCUAGAAAAAAGACUUCAGUAAAAUUUAUUUUACAUCAGUAGGAUUGAACAAAUACAGAAGUCCACUGUGCGAGCCUCCCCCUCCAUAGGGCAUAACUGCUGAUCUCUGUUGUGCCAGACGGCCCUUCCCGAGGGCGCUUUUCAAAGUCAGCAAAGCAGCAAGACAGCUCUGGUCAUCAAAACCAUUUCUUCCCUGCAUUAUGAGGCCUCCAGUAGGGCCAUUUUGCUGCUAAUCACCUUGGUUUUUAAUUAGAGCCUUUUAUUGAUUUGUUUGCAAGUUUAUGGCUUUGGGAGAAAUCCUCAGCUGGAGAUGCCUCUGUGGGCAUUUGUGCUGGAGCAGCAGGGUCCUUUAUCAGGCUACAGCUCUAAUCUGGCUUUAGAAAAAAACCCUCUUUGCUGCUGCAAGGCAUUGUGUGUGGGGGUGAAUGCUGGAGCUUUGCCUUCCUGUGGCCACAUCCUGCUUGCCACUCCACCGGCAUUAAAGUCCAGAUCCCCGCCGUGCCGUCCUGCCCCAUCACCUUCUGAAGCUUGUGCAUUAGACAGACCCGAGUCUAGACCAAGAACUGGGAAGUUGCCAGAGCAGGACGGGAACAUGAGUCGAAUGUAUUAGUUGCCUGCAGUCCAGCCAGCUUACGUGGACAGGAAGGCACUUGCAGUAUCUGGCCCAUGCUGGCCGUCGGCACCCCCACGAUGACGUACCGAAAGGCCCUGCAGUUGCGGGCUAAAGCGCAAUCGGUAAUGGGAGGUGUGCUAUGGGGGGUUGGACUGGUGUACCGGUUCAGCUGGUGGCAAUGCCUGCAAGGUCAUGUUGCCCGAUACAUUUAAUUUGCCCCUGUUUUGUAGGCCCCUCUCCUUCCCCAGGCUCUGAAGUGUUUGGGCUGAGCUUUCCCCAUGCCAGGGGGCUGAACUUUCCUUCUGCAUUGGCCUGAAUUUUUUUUUUACCCCCAGAGUUUUGUGUUUUUUCCCCACCCAAAAUGGUUCACCUCCUUCCAAAAACAAGGCGCGGGGGGAAUACAGUGUUUGACCCCUUUUUAAAGCACUUCCCACGGCCUCUCUGAGGCACUGCAGCUCCUUGAUACGCUGGAGACAAGAUUUUGGAGCUGGGUAUCGUGUUGCCAUGGUGUCAGAGAAGUACCUUCUGCUCUUUUCAUGUAUGCUUAACAGAAGGAUGGCGGCACUCAUUCUGCUCCGGUCCCCAGCUGCGCAGCCCAGGCCGCUGCGGUGCCGUGCGUAGGGAGGUGGUUUCUCCUCGGCCCCUCCUGCUGCAGUGGAGUAAGGAGAGAUGAAGACAGGCUGGGGAGGGAGGACAGGUUGCAGAGAGUCUCCUGGGGGGUGGGAUCUGAGGGGUCCCAGAGCGAAGCUGGGGGUGCACGGGGAGGAGGGGUCGGGGACACCCCAGGGGCAAGGCUGCAGGGCGGUGGGGAAAAGGAACAUGCAACAUGCUCAUCUUCAGAUGGAGGAAGGGAACUCAAGGCUCCUAAGUCUCCUCCGGUGCAACCGGCUGGCAGAUGCACAGUUCAAUGCAUGCCAACCUGCUGCUGCUGCCAGUUCCCCCGUGCCCUCGAGGGGCGGAGGGCUGCACUGGAGGUGUCAAGAUCCUGACGUGCCAAGGACCAUGUGGGGGUAGGAUGGCUUCCUGCUUUCUCAUUUUCCAAACAAAUUAAUUGGUUUUCUCUUAAAAACAGAAAGGAAAAAAAAAAAAAAAAAGACUCUCCAAAAGAGAGCUUCCGAUGGAGAGACCCUCUUGCGAACAUUACGGAGAUGGUGAAGACGCACGAGACUUCAAGCGACCCACGUCACCUCCAUUCUGCUGCUUCGUGCGUACGUGUUAUGACACAGUCUUUUGCGUCUUCACUCGCUGUUUUGUUCCUGGAGAACGCUUGCUUUGUUCAAUGCAGAGAGUGGCUUUUGCUCAGGGAAUGAGUCAGUGCUGAGCGGUGAAGGAUGCUGCUGCCUCUGACCUUACCCUGCUUGUUGCAUCAGUCGAGAGGUCUGCAUCCACUGAAGCAGCAGGCUGCAGGGGUGAAAAGGAAGAUCUUGUAGUUUGGACAGAUAAAUGCUGGCCUGGAGCACUGUAUUCUCUCUUUGUCUCCACCACAGAUCUCUUGCGUGAUGUUAGGCAAGUCACUUAAACCUAAAUUUUCAGAGAUGGCCACUGAUAGGCUGUGCUCCUCUGCUUCUGCCCAGUUUGAGAUGCUUUGGCCACGCAAAGGGCUAGAUAAGUACUCUGACAAAGCUGGUCCUGGAUGUUUCAAACUGGGCUCCCACCAUAAGCCGAGACUAGGGCAAUUUGAGCCUCUCUCUCUUUGUGCCUCAGUUCCUCGCCUGUAAAAUGAAGGCGGUCUGACCGCUCUCCCAGGGCUGGUGUGAUGAAAAGUUAGUUAACAUCUGCAUCGGGGUGACGAGCGCCCCAGAAGAUCCCACGAGGAGAUGAGUCACUCGGCACGCAGAGCCGCACUUGGAGGGUGUGCUGCAAAGGUGGCACGGGGCCAAGCAGUAACGAGGAGUACAAAAAAGAAAUAAUGAGCUGCUACUUGCUGUCUGAUUGCUGUCCAUCCUGUGCCCUGCCGGAGGCGCAGGGAAAGCAGUGCGACAUCAUCUGUGCCAAACCGUGUCGGCACAAGCACAGACGGCCUCGAAGUCUGGCGUUUUCUAGCUUCUGAGUUUGGAACCUUUCAUGUUUUAUGGAAUUGUAGGCUGUUCCUUGCAUUGAUUUAGCAAUUUGCAAAAUGAAUUGUUAUUUUAUUUUUUUUGCAAUCAUUAAAUGAAUGGGGGCGGGGGGGGAGUUUCAGGUGUUUUUAUCCCUGUUCCAUAUGAAUAAAUCAGGAGAUGGAGAGAGCACGUGACCUCCAGUAACUUGGCCAACGGCAUGCGGGUAGGCAGGGACUGACCAAAUCCCCUUGCACGUGGAGACACAGACUUGGGAGUCCUUCCUCAUAUCAUCCCGGCUGCACACAUCUCUGCAAGCCUCUAGCCAGGCACUCUGCAACCUCGGAGCUGAGCAAUGGCAAAGUUAAGAGAGGUCAGCUGAAGGGCAGAUGCUGAAGGAUCUUGCCUGCUGCAUGAGGAGCUGAGAGCGGAACGGGGACGACCACAUUUUCAGCCCCUUCCCUAACGACGGCGCUUCCCAAGGAAACUGAGCUCCAAAUGCCGGAUCUCCGUGCGUAGUUUUAUGUUAAAGAAACAUUCCAGUUCUCACCUAGAAAUCACAACGGAAGUCAGAAGCACCCGCAGGAUUAGCAACCUGGAGCAUAACCACCUGCAAACCGGUUCACGGCAAGUCAGGAUAUAAAUAUGGAUCUCAAACCCCACCGUCGUUGGGAAUAGAGCCCUGCUCCAAAGUUGAGUUUGCAUCAGGCUUGAUGAGAUUAACAUGUGCGGCGAGUGAACAAACACCAGGAGGUGAUGGGGGAGAAGGUGUAGGAGCACGGGUCAUGGGACGGUGCUUACAGAGGUGCUGGUAUGGCAAAGAUUCGAACACGUGUAUAACCUGUUGUGCUGCGAGAAUCCCCAAAGCCUGCUAGGCCUCAGCUUCAAGAGCAUGACCCUCCAAGGAUCGCCCUCGGCAUGUCUGAGCUCUUGGCUCGUUAGGCUAAUCCUGCAGUUCAGUGCUGAGUCCUUUCCGCAGCAAAUUGUAAGCAGCUUUGCUCCAGUUGCAUGUAAGAAAGCAUUCUGGACUUCUUGACUCUUUCUUUAAAUCCCACAGUGAAAUCAAAAGUCUCCAGCAUGUGUUCCCACUCCAGCAUGCAGAGAUAGGUCUUAAAUUACUGUGUCUCUGCGAGCUCCAGGGGAAAGCGUAUGUACUGCGCUUCCCUCGGAGUCCUGCGAAGGAACAAGUGAAAGGACUUGUGCGGCACAUCCAAUUUACCAUUGCUCAGCGUCUGCAAAUUGUUUCUUUCCUUCCGACGCGAAGGAGCGUGUCGUGCAAAGAGGCAGAGCAGCGCCAUGGGAUGUUGUGAGAGUAAAUAUUGUUUUUGGUUGUAAGGUGACAAAGCAACCAGCUCUGAGCCUGACUGUGCCCCGAGAGGCUGUACAACCUUGCCCCAUAACUCGGACUCAGGAAGUCUUACCAAGCCCCAGCACCAACCUGGGAGCUCCUUCCAGCUCCGGUCCUAAUUCUGUGCCAGCCCAGCCCGGCUUCUCACCCGCAGCGAAGCGGCCUGCUGGGUCCUCAACGCUGCGAUGCCCUUUUUGUAAUGUUGUUGUUCUCUCCUUUCCCGGAGGAAUUCAGCCAUUCAUCUUUUUCUUGCCCUUUGUCUGGUGUCGGAGCUGUGAUUUUUUUUCUUUUUUUUUUUUGUUUGCACUGACCAUUUCAGUUGCACAACUGGCUCCUUCUGAGAGAUCUGUGAUGCAUUUGCACAGGACAGAGGCUCAGCCCGUGGCAAUCUCAUCAGCGUACACUAAAUUCAUUUAGGAGAGUCCGUAUGGAGGGAGAAGAGGAGGACGAGAAGCUGAGAGAGAGACAAAGUCUACUACAGGCCUAGCAAGAGCCGUAAACCCACGAGCCUUCACGUGGGAGCCAGCGGUCGAAGCGCGCUGGGGCACAGGACGGAUGUCUGUCAUGCUGGACAGAUGAGGAUGGUGAGGUGUUCCUGCCGGGAAACGUGCCAUAAAAGCAUGCAAGAUGGCUGUUAACGUGUGCACCUAGACCACCCUCCAAGGAAAUGCAGUCGGGGUUAGGGAGUUACAGUUUCUUCAGAGCUCUGCAGUCUUACAAAGGCACAGUUCGGUAUCCCUGAGGUUGCAAGGAUCUUGAUGCCUGGUCUACAUCUGCAAGCAACGGCAGGCUUGGGAAUCUGCAUUGCUCCGCUGCAGAAAGCAGAGCUAGAGCUGCCAGGCCGCUGGGCUCGGUGGGAAAGGACCUGCUGACAGGUCAAUGGAGCCGGCAGUGUGGAGGAGGCCCUGGAGCACGCCUCAUCCCGACUCAGAGCGUGGUCCUCUCUCUCCACAUGCAACUGCGUUGGGAAGGAGAGCUUCAUUUCAAGAGCUUUCAUCAUUCAGAGGUGGCUGCUAAAAGAUAAUCCAGGGCUUGGGACGGACAUCUGUAGUCUUGGAAAUAAAAUUGGGUCGCAGGUUUGCAGGACGUCAGAGCUGUUGACUUGGGAACGCAGGACACCUGGGGCAGAGGGAAGCAGAAUUCGUGCCUUGUUUGCUGGUCAAGGAAUAUGCUUUGGGAGCUGAAGGGUUUUCCUGGGACCUGCCAGGAGGAGAAACUUGCAGCCCAGGCCCUUUCCUACCUAUUCGUUGAAGAGGCGUUGUCAAAAUGAGCUUUCUCUACUACACUUCUGUGCACCGCCUGCUUCUCAGCAUCUUCUGGCCACCAUGUCCUGCUCCUCCUCCUCCAACUGGUUGUCCCUGGCCCUCCUGGCUUUGUGACAUCUGCUCCCAGGGGGCUAGAGGUCCCCCCAGCCCUCUUCUUUCAUCCACAGCGUUGCUGCUCCCUGGGCUCUCUCUCCACCCUGCAGCCUCCCUAGCAGUCUCUAGCAGCUCCUCUUGCACCCGAGGUUAUUUUGCUUGCAGCUGCUCUCUCCCAAGUGCAAACCUUUCCAUGCUUUUGCAUUAAAGGGUGAGUCUUGGAUCAGCAUCUCAGGGCUGCGACUCCCUCUGCUCCCUUUUCAUCCAGCCCAGGUGGGCCCGGACCUGCCGCCUUGGCCCAUCACCUCUACUACCGGUGCAUUUACUGAUCACGGUGACUUGCCCCGAGCAGCUUCCUAGCCGGGAACACAGCAUUACUCAUUGCAGGGGGUGCCACAGCCCAGGUUGGGGUCACCUGCAGGCAAUGUGCUUUUACCUCAACUCCUGGUGGGGGAGGACAGAGCCUCAGGGCUUCUUUUUAUGUUAAGCCUUUGUGCCUGCAUUGAAGGUCAUGAGGCAGGACCCCCCGCUGGAGGGUCUUGAGGAACCAAGCUGCUUUUCUAGAAACAGGAAGCCCCCCAGGAGUUUCUGGGGUUCCCAUGGCGUGAAGUCCUCCCCUCUGGGUCUAAGGAAAGCAGUGUCUGGAGGCUGGAGCCCUCUCUGGAGGGUCUCCUGCACCCUCUGUAGAGACCAAGCUGCAUCUUUGGAAGCAGAACGCCAAGAGGAAGCCCCCCGUGAUGUCCUGGGGUGCCUAUAGAGUAAAGCCCUCCCCUCUGGGUCUAAAGAAAGCAGUGUCUGGAGGCUAGAGCCCUCUCUGGAG